rnacentral:rRNA from 1 species
AUACGUAGGGUGCAAGCGUUAAUCGGAAUUACUGGGCGUAAAGCGUGCGCAGGCGGUUUUGUAAGACAGUGGUGAAAUCCCCGGGCUCAACCUGGGAACUGCCAUUGUGACUGCAAGGCUGGAGUGCGGCAGAGGGGGAUGGAAUUCCGCGUGUAGCAGUGAAAUGCGUAGAUAUGCGGAGGAACACCGAUGGCGAAGGCAAUCCCCUGGGCCUGCACUGAUGCUCAUGCACGAAAGCGUGGGGAGCAAACAGGAUUAGAUACCCUGGUAGUCCACGCCCUAAACGAUGUCAACUGGUUGUUGGGGAUUUAUUUUCUCAGUAACGAAGCUAACGCGUGAAGUUGACCGCCUGGGGAGUACGGCCGCAAGGUUAAAACUCAAAGGAAUUGACGGGG